rnacentral:rRNA from 1 species
GACGAACGCUGGCGGCGUGCUUAACACAUGCAAGUCGAACGGAAAGGCCCUGCUUGCAGGGUACUCGAGUGGCGAACGGGUGAGUAACACGUGGGUGAUCUGCCCUGCACUUCGGGAUAAGCCUGGGAAACUGGGUCUAAUACCGGAUAGGAGCCAUUUUUAGUGUGAUGGUUGGAAAGUUUUUUCGGUGUAGGAUGAGCUCGCGGCCUAUCAGCUUGUUGGUGGGGUAAUGGCCUACCAAGGCGGCGACGGGUAGCCGGCCUGAGAGGGUGGACGGCCACAUUGGGACUGAGAUACGGCCCAGACUCCUACGGGAGGCAGCAGUGGGGAAUAUUGCACAAUGGGCGCAAGCCUGAUGCAGUGACGCCGCGUGGGGGAUGACGGCCUUCGGGUUGUAAACUCCUUUCGCUAGGGACGAAGCUUUUUGUGACGGUACCUAGAUAAGAAGCACCGGCUAACUACGUG